rnacentral:rRNA from 1 species
AGCAGCCGCGGUAAUUCCAGCUCCAAUAGCGUAUAUUAAAGUUGUUGCAGUUAAAAAGCUCGUAGUUGAAUUUCGGGGUCAGUAGGUUGGUCGUGCCACUGGUAUGUACUGGUCUCACUGAUUCCUCCUUCCUGAUGAGCUGUAAUGCCAUUAAUUUGGUGUUGCAGGGAAUCUGGACUGUUACUUUGAAAAAAUUAGAGUGUUUAAAGCAGGCUCACGCUUGAAUACAUUAGCAUGGAAUAAUGAAAUAGGACGUUUGAUUCUAUUUUGUUGGUUUCUAGGAUCGACGUAAUGAUUAAUAGGGAUAGUUGGGGGCAUUAGUAUUCAAUUGUCAGAGGUGAAAUUCUUGGAUUUAUUGAAGACUAACUACUGCGAAAGCAUUUGCCAAGGAUGUUUUCAUUAAUCAAGAACGAAAGUUAGGGGAUCGAAGACGAUCAGAUACCGUCGUAGUCUUAACCAUAAACUAUGCCGACUAGGGAUCGGGUGAUGUUAAUUUUUAAUGUACUCAUUCGCG